rnacentral:SRP_RNA from 2 species
UGGAAGGUUGGGCGGACAAACAUCUCGCCAACCCGGUCAGGUCCGAGAGGAAGCAGCCGUAACGAGUUUCCGUUUGGGUCGUUUCCAACCUUCCGCCG